AGACAGUUGAAAAAUAUUAAUGACAAAAUAAACAAAGGACUGGAGAAAUAAUGCUGGAGUUUUUCAUUGCUGAUUUAUCUCUGUCAAGAAUUGCUUCAUAGUGCAAGGUGUUGGACAUAAAUCCAUUACUUAUGGAUAUCACACCACUGAUUCAAAUGAAGUGUCACCAACUUAAAAAUGGAGGAACUGUGGAGAUUCAGACCCUGUGGUUUGAAUAGCUAGAAAUAUGAAGAAGACAUGCUUCAUGAACCCAUGGUCUCUUACCAGGGCACAGACUUUGCUUCCACUUUAAUCCAGGUUUGUCAUAACAUUUUGUAACACCACCACCAUUUUCUCCAA